rnacentral:rRNA from 1 species
GUUGAACGCUGGCGGCGUGCCUAAUACAUGCAAGUCGAGCGAAUGGAUUAAGAGCUUGCUCUUAUGAAGUUAGCGGCGGACGGGUGAGUAACACGUGGGUAACCUGCCCAUAAGACUGGGAUAACUCCGGGAAACCGGGGCUAAUACCGGAUAACAUUUUGAACCGCAUGGCUCGAAAUUGAAAGGCGGCUUCGGCUGUCACUUAUGGAUGGACCCGCGUCGCAUUAGCUAGUUGGUGAGGUAACGGCUCACCAAGGCAACGAUGCGUAGCCGACCUGAGAGGGUGAUCGGACACACUGGGACUGAGACACGGCCCAGACUCCUACGGGAGGCAGCAGUAGGGAAUCUUCCGCAAUGGACGAAAGUCUGACGGAGCAACGCCGCGUGAGUGAUGAAGGCUUUCGGGUCGUAAAACUCUGUUGUUAGGGAAGAACAAGUGCUAGUUGAAUAAGCUGGCACCUUGACGGUACCUAACCAGAAAGCCACGGCUAACUACGUGCCAGCCGCCGCCGUAA